rnacentral:misc_RNA from 1 species
GCAGAAGGAUCAUUAGUGAAGAUUUGGGCAGGCCAUACGGACGCCAAAAAGUGUCCCUGGCCGCCUACACCCACUAUACAUCCACAAACCCGUGUGCACUGUCUUGGAGAAAGGCCUCAGAGAAGUUUUUUGUGGCCUCUCUUGGGGUCUUUCUUCGCUACAAACUCGAAUGGUUAGUAUGAACGUGGAACUUGGUUGGACCGUCACUGGCCAACAAACUAUACACAACUUUCGACAACGGAUCUCUUGGUUCUCCCA